AGAGUUUGAUCAUGGCUCAGGAUGAACGCUGGCGGCGUGCUUAAUACAUGCAAGUCGAACGGAGAUCAGCAAUGGUCUUAGUGGCGAACGGGUGAGUAACGCGUUGGUGACCUGCCCCGGAGAGAGGGAUAACAGGCCGAAAGGCUUGCUAAUACCACAUGCGCAGUUGAGGGAUUAGAAGCUUGACUGCAAAGCAGAAAUGCGCUCUGGGAGGGGCCUGCGACCCAUCAGCUAGUUGGUAAGGUAACGGCCUACCAAGGCGAUGACGGGUAGGGGACCUGAGAGGGUGGCCCCCCACAAUGGAACUGAAACACGGUCCAUACACCUACGGGUGGCAGCAGUAGGGAAUAUUGCUUAAUGGGCGAAAGCCUGAAGCAGCAACGCCGCGUGUGCGAUGAAGGCCUUCGGGUUGUAAAGCACUUUUGAACGGGAAGAGGAAGGACGGUACCGUUCGAAUAAGCCUCGGCUAACUACGUGCCAGCCGCCGCGGUAAUAC
rnacentral:rRNA from 1 species